GCGACCCCAGUCAGGCGGGAUACAAAAUGUUUCCCUCGGGAUUCCAUCCGCGUUGCGGAGAUCCUCGAUGCGACCCCAGUCAGGCGGGAUACAAAA
rnacentral:rRNA from 1 species